AGCGACCCCAGGUCAGGC
rnacentral:rRNA from 1 species